AUUGAACGCUGGCUGCAGGCCUAACACAUGCAAGUCGAGCGGAGCGGCGGACGGGUGAGUAAUGCUUAGGAAUCGGCCUGGUCGUGGUGGAUCACGUCCGCUAACGGGCUCUAAUCCCGCAUCCUAUCACCCUCGCCUCGGUCGGACUAGCUUGUUGGUGGGGUAAUGGCCUACCCAGUCGACGAUCCGUAACUGGACUGACAGGGUGAUCAGUCACACUGGAAAUGAGACACGGUCCAGACUCCUACGGGAGGCAGCAGUGGGGAAUAUUGGACAAUGGGCGAAAGCCUGAUGCAGCCAUGCCGCGUGUGUGAAGAAGGGCUUCGGAUUGUAAAGCACUUUAAGUUGGGAGGCGUUGCCAACAGAAUAAGCACCGGCUAACUCCGUGCCAGCAGCCGCGGUAAUAC
rnacentral:rRNA from 1 species